rnacentral:rRNA from 1 species
UACGUAGGGUGCAGGCGUUAAUCGGAAUUACUGGGCGUAAAGCGUGCGCAGGCGGCUCCUUAAGUCAGAUGUGAAAUCCCCGGGCUCAACCUGGGAACUGCAUCUGUGACUGCAUUGCUGGAGUGCGGCAGAGGGGGGAUGGAAUUCCGCGUGUAGCAGUGAAAUGCGUAGAUAUGCGGAGGAACACCGAUGGCGAAGGCAAUCCCCUGGGCCUGCACUGACGCUCAUGCACGAAAGCGUGGGGAGCAAACAGG